rnacentral:lncRNA from 1 species
AUAAUUUUUCUAAGUUUCUUUUGAGGUAUCUGCAAGCGUGAACGUGCUCUUCUUUCUUUCCUGGAGGCGCACUGACGGGGAAGACGUGGUUCUGUAUUGGGUCGUCGUAUCUCUAAGAGAUCUAUGUCAGCAGACCCGUGCGUGGCAUAAACUUUUCUGGGACAACGCAUCAACGUGUUUCGAUCUACAGGCCAUCUUCUCUCUCUUUCUUCAUUUUAUUAUUAUAUUGUCAAGUUAAUUAUUUGCUAGUUUAUUCUUCUUAUUUACUGUUUUUGAAUAUUAUAAAUAUUUAAUUAUUGAUUUAUCAAUGAUAUUUAUGCAUCUAGACUAACAAUCCAGGAAAAUUUAUGUACUGGUAGCACGAGAUUUUAAAUUGUAACAUUUAUUAUAUAUUUUGCUACAUAAUUGUAAAUUGUUAUAUUUUAGUUGUUACACAUUUAUGCUAGCUUUACUUUAAUACUUAAUUUUCAAAGCAAAAUAUUAGAUUGCUUAACCUCCAAGAGGUUUAUUAAUACCUCCAUUUGGACUCCUCAUGGAGUAAUUUCUAGAUUCCAUUCAAAUGGAAAUUCGGAAAUUGGUUAAUUCAUAGGAGCUAGCUUAAUAUUGCACUUAGGAUGAAAUUGAACGAUAUCUAGUGAUAUUAUCUAUUGAAUAACGGUGUCUAAGAAAAGCUUGUCAAAAAGGCAUACGUGCCUAAGAAAGGCUGGUACUUAAGUGAGUCAAGUGCUCUACCACCGUUCUGGAGCUAAUCUGGCUGUUAUUCUUUGGAUUUUUUCAACCAGACAUCUAAAGUUUAAAUUAAAUAUCGGUGCAAUAAUUUGACAUAAACCUUUUCAUUUUCAUGUGUCAAAACUUUGUUAAGCUACAAAUCAAUCUCUUUCUUCUCUCCUAAUCAAUGGCUUCCCACACAUCUGAAAACCUUAGUGCUAAACCUAAAAAGUUUAAUAGUCAAAACUUUAGGAGGUGGCGGAAUCAAAUGCGGUUCUGGCUCACCACCCUAGGCUUGAUUUCAGCCAUUGGUGAGAGCAUUACUAAAGUCAGUCAUGGGUCUAACCCAUUUGCUUACCUUCCUCAUUUGAUUUUCAGCAUGUGCCUUGCAUGAGAGAAGUUUGAGUUUGAAUUUCUUCCCCAUGUGGCUGAUUAGGAAGUAGUUUCAAUUAUCCCGCCAACAAGCCAUGUAUGGCACAUAAGUCUUAGGUCUAUAUAAGAGAGUCAUAGGCAUUUUGUGAGAAAAUAUCUUUGAUCAUUAUAUUUGCUUUUUAAUGUACUUGAAUUUAAUCCCAAAUUCAGAACUUAAGAAUAAUGACAAAUGUGAGAUAUGUGUAGAGGCCAAAUUACCUAAGAGAUCCUUCUACUCUGUAAGUAGAGAUUCUGAUCUUCUUAAACUCAUACAUAGUGAUAUAUGUGACUCAAGAAGAACCUCAAGGGGAAGAAACAAAUAUUUUAUAACUUUCAUAGAUGACCUUUCUAGAUAUCGUUACCUUUAUCUUAUCAAAGCUAAAAAUGAGGUCUUAAAUAAAUUCAAAGUCUAUAAAGCAGAAGCUGAAAACCAACUAGAUAAAAAGAUUAAAAUCUUAAGGUCUGAUAAAGGAGGUGAAUAUACCUCAUUUGAGCUUACCCAGUUCUGUGAAGAACAUGGGAUAAUUCAUGAAGUGACAGCUCCUUAUUCACCCCAAUCUAAUGGAGUAGCUGAGAGAAAGAAUAGAACCUUAAUGGAUAUAGUUAACUCUAUGUUAAUUAGUUCAGGUGCACCAGAAAAUCUUUGGGGGGAAGCACUAGUAAUUGCAUCUUAUAUCUUGAAUAGAAUUCCAUUCAAACAUAAUGAUAAAACUCCACAUGAAAUCUGGAAAUAUAAAAAACCUAACUUAAAAUACCUNNNNNNNNNNNNNNNNNNNNNNNNNNNNNNNNNNNNNNNNNNNNNNNGAAAGAAAAUUGGACCCAAACAGUAGAUGCAAUAUUUAUAGGAUAUGCAAUUGAGAGUAAUGCUAAUAGAUUUUUAGUGUUUAACUCUCAAAUAAAUGAAAUUAAUAACAACACCAUAAUGGAAGCAAGAGAUGCAAUCAACUUUGAAAGUAUAUUUUCUUUAAAAUAAGGAUAAAUGAUCAAAUAAAUACCAAUAAUAAUUUAGGGACUAAUUCUAGCAGAACCAGAUUUAGAGAAGAAGAAGAACAAAACUGAACCUAGAAGAAGUAAAAGAACUAGAGUUGAAAAGAAUUUUGGAGAAGACUACUACAUAUUUCUAAUAGAAAACUCUCCUACUUCUUUAGAGGAUGCCUUGAAAUCUCUAGGUGCCUCCUUCUGGAAAGAAGCAAUAGAUAAUGAAAUGCAAUCCAUAAUCCAAAACCACACUUGGAAAUUGGCAGACCUACCCCCAGGAAGUAAACCCAUAGGGUGUAAAUGGAUCUUUAAGAAGAAACUUAGACCAGAUGGAACUGUAGUUAAAUAUAAGGCUAGAUUAGUAGCCAAAGGUUUUACUCAAAAAUUUGGGAUUGACUUCUUUGAUGUUUAUGCCCCUGUAGCUAGAAUCACUACUAUUAGGAUUCUUGUUGCCUUCGCUUCCAUUCAUUAGCUGGUUAUACAUCAAAUGGAUGUUAAAACCGCUUUCUUGAAUAGGGACCUAGAUGAAGAGAUCUACAUGAACCAACCCGAAGGUUUCAUUGUCCCAGGUCAAGAGAAAAAGGUAUGUAGGUUGAUUAGAUCUCUUUAUGGUCUAAAACAAGCCCCCAAACAAUGGCACCUUAAAUUUGAUGAAAUAAUCUUAACUAAUGGAUUUAAAAUUAAUAACACAAAUUAAUAUGUAUAUUAUAAAAAGAAGAAUAACAAAAUUAUAAUCUUAUGUCUAUAUGUAGAUGAUAUCCUAAUUUUUGGAAUAGACUUAGAAAUUAUUAAUGAAGUAAAACAAUUUUUAUCUCUAAAAUUUGAUAUGAAAGAUUUAGGAGAAGCAGACCUAAUCCUUAAUACUAAAAUUAUGAGAAAUGAAGAUGGAAUAACUUUGUCCCAAAGCCACUAUGUGGAGAAGAUUCUUAAAAAGUUUCAUUACUCUGAUUGUCAUCCUGUAUCUACUCCCUAUAAUCCAUCUCUUCAUCUAAAGAAGAACUUAGGUGAUCCAGUCAAUCAAAGCUUGUAUGCCCAGAUCAUUGGUUCUUUAGGAUUGUUUGCAAAUUAUACCAAAACUGAUAUUGCAUACUUUGUGAACCGACUCAGUAGAUAUACUCACAAUCCUAAUAAUGAUCAUUGGACUGCUCUAGAAAAAAUUCUCGGAUACCUUAAGGGUACCAUAUCUCUGGGAUUACACUAUUGUGUUCAUCCUGCUGUUCUGGAAGGCUAUAGUGAUGCCAAUUAGAUCAGUGAUACAGUUGACACCAAAUCCACCACUGGUUUUGUCUUCCUUUUAGGAGGUGCAGCUAUAUCAUGGAAGUCUACCAAACAAACUGUAGUGGCUAGGAGCACCAUGAAAUCUGAAAUGAUUGCCCUAGAUACCACUAGCAUUAAGGUCGAGUGGCUUAGAGAUCUACUGAUAGAUUUACCUCUUGUGACUUCACCAUUACCUUCUAUAUCUAUUCAUUGUGACUGUAGAUCUGCUAUGGAUAAAUGCAAUCAAGAAAAUGCAAAUGUGAAAAUGAAUAGGCACUUGAAAGUGUGCCAUAAAUCAUUAAAAUGCAAAUUAAAGAAUAACUUGAUUGCACUAAAUUUUGUAAGAUACGAAAGGAAUCUAGCUAAUCAGCUUACCAAAGGAUUGUCUAGAAUAGUGCUUCUAGAUUUGUCGAAGGGGAUGGGGCUAAGCCCAUAAGUAAAGUCACCACGGUGGUAACCCAACCUGAAAAGGUUCAAUGGGUAGAAACAAGCUAGAUAGGUGACUAAUGAGGAGCACUAUUUGUUUUUCCCAUCCUUAGGGCAACAGUGCUCAUAAAAAGCAAGGGUUAAGUUGAGUUUUUAUUCUUAAUAAAUCCGAGACCCAUGAGGCAGGGUACCUACUUGCUCGUACCCUUUUUAGGAUUCACCUAUAUGCGUGUAGUCGUGAGGCCGCGACUGUGGAAAGUGGGCUGUUCCCUAAUAACACACAUGAAGAGAUACCUGCGCAUGGUCGUAAAGCGCAAACCCGCUUCGAGCAUGUUCAUGCUAUAUUAUGUGUGCUGUUGAUGAAAUCUGAGCCAUGGACCAAGGUUUAAGGCAUAGUCCACCUUGGCUCCACAGAGAUAAUCAAUUGUCACUAAGUGCAGGUUCAAACUAAAAGGUACCUACACCUAUUACAUAAUAUAAGAUACUCAGCAUUUUAUUUUGAUUUUUUUAAUUUUAUUUUGAUUUUAAAUUUUUUAAAUAUUUAAUUUAUGUGGGGGAUUGUUGAAUUAAAUCAAAUAUUUUAAAAUUUUGAAAACCAAAUUGGUCAACGGCCAAGUGGCAAGCAUCCGCGCACAAGCAAGGGAGCAAACAUGGAAAAAUUCCCAAAGGAAGUAGGCCAUCACAAGUGUCAUGCAUCCAGCGCAAGAGCAAGCAUGAAAAGGUCCCUCGAAGAAGGAAGAAAACAUGGACGACCAAGAUGCAAUAAGCCGAAGAAUCAAAGGAGGACAAGAAGACACGUCAUCAAUCUGCAGGAGGGGAAUCUUCUUCUUUUGACGUGCCUGAGCCUAUAUAAAGGGCUCUAGGGAUCAUUUCAAACCACAAUCAAAAUUUUCUCUUUUCCUUAUUCCAAGAGUCUAGAUAAAAAGGGCUCUAGGGAUCAUUAGGGAGGAAAGAAAUAAAGAAAAUUUUUCUAAGUUUCUUUUGAGGUAUCUGCAAGCGUGAACGUGCUCUUCUUUCUUUCCUGGAGGCGCACUGACGAGGAAGACGUGAUUCUGUAUUGGGUCGUCGUGUCUCUAAGAGAUCUAUGCCAGCAGACCCGUGCAUGGGGGGUAUAAACUUUCCUGGGACAACGCAUCAACGUGCUUCGAUCCAUAGGCCAUCUUCUCUCUCUUUCUUCAUUUUAUUAUUAUAUUGUCAAGUUAAUUAUUUACUAAUUUAUUCUUCUUAUUUACUGUUUUUGAAUAUUAGAAAUAUUUAAUUAUUGAUUUAUCAAUAAUAUUUAUGCAUCUAGGCUAACACAAAGCACGUCCAGUAUUUUGUUUAUAUUAUAUAUAAAGCCUCCCUUUACCAUUAUUUAUAAACUGAUCCAGAAAAUGUUAAUAUAAAUUGCAACAAACACCUUAAAUUAGAUCAACUCUAAUUGAUCAAUGGACGGUUGUUUUCUCAAGUGUUUGGUGGGACCAUUGAAGUUUAGGGGGAGUAGAGCUAAGCAUAAACGCUAUUCUUUCCUUAUUCCCUUAUCUCUUAGAUUUACCUUUCUAUCCUUCUUUAACCCUCAAAUUUAAACUUUCUGCCAUCAGCCACGUCGCUUAAUACGAAAACAUGAUAGAAAAAAUGGUCCCAAACAUGGUCCAGGACGAGACUGGGCCAUGGCCCGUCACCUUGGUGCUGUCACACAUCCUAUGCUUGUGCAUGCAUCUACGAUGUGCCUUAGGCUUUUCAGGUUUCUCACAUCGUCUUACCUGUUCGACUUUGGCAUGAUGGGGGACAACGGCGAUCUCCAUCGCUGUGGUUGCUGCCACUGCCACCCCCUCAA